rnacentral:rRNA from 1 species
GACGAACGCUGGCGGCGUGCCUAAUACAUGCAAGUAGAACGCUGAAGGAGGAGCUUGCUUCUCUGGAUGAGUUGCGAACGGGUGAGUAACGCGUAGGUAACCUGCCUGGUAGCGGGGGAUAACUAUUGGAAACGAUAGCUAAUACCGCAUAAUAGUAGAUGUUGCAUGACAUUUGCUUAAAAGGUGCAAUUGCAUCACUACCAGAUGGACCUGCGUUGUAUUAGCUAGUUGGUGGGGUAACGGCUCACCAAGGCGACGAUACAUAGCCGACCUGAGAGGGUGAUCGGCCACACUGGGACUGAGACACGGCCCAGACUCCUACGGGAGGCAGCAGUAGGGAAUCUUCGGCAAUGGACGGAAGUCUGACCGAGCAACGCCGCGUGAGUGAAGAGGGUUUUCGGAUCGUAAAGCUCUGUUGUAAGAGAAGAACGAGUGUGAGAGUGGAAAGUUCACACUGUGACGGUAUCUUACCAGAAAGGGACGGCUAACUACGUG